rnacentral:rRNA from 1 species
AGCGAACGCUGGCGGCAGGCUUAACACAUGCAAGUCGAGCGGGCACUUCGGUGUCAGCGGCAGACGGGUGAGUAACACGUGGGAACGUACCCUUCGGUUCGGAAUAACGCUGGGAAACUAGCGCUAAUACCGGAUACGCCCUUUUGGGGAAAGGUUUACUGCCGAAGGAUCGGCCCGCGUCUGAUUAGCUAGUUGGUGGGGUAAUGGCCUACCAAGGCGACGAUCAGUAGCUGGUCUGAGUGGAUGAUCAGACACACUGGGACUGAGACACGGCCCAGACUCCUACGGGAGGGAGGAGUGGGGAAUAUUGGAAAAUGGGCGCAAGCCUGAUCCAGCCAUGCCGCGUGAGUGAUGAAGGCCUUAGGGUUGUAAAGCUCUUUUGUCCGGGACGAUAAUGACGGUACCGGAAGAAUAAGCACCGGCUAACUUCGUG